GCGGGGCGGGGCGGCAGGUAGUGGCGCGGCCCGCUCUUCGUGCCCGACUCCCUGUGCGCGAUCCCGGCGCCCUUCCUCUGCGUGUCCGGGGUUUGCAGCCUGCCCGAGUGCCUGCGUGUGCCGGGGCCGCCUCUGGGCUGGAAAGGCACACCUUUGCCUUCCGGAAGGGCUGGUUCCUGCUCCUGGGAGCUCAGUAAGGGGGGCGAGUGGGGGCUGCAGUGAGCUCGUAACUGGAAACCUAGUGAGGACGGUUGGUCAAGCCCUUUAUAUUUGGCUAAAGCUCAACUCUGAACUAAAUGCCACGACAGUCCCACACCAUAGGCUGGUGGUAAAAGAGCCCACAGACAGGACAGGAUGACCAGGAGAGACACGUCUUGGGAUGGCCUAGGAGCAGACUACAUAGCAGAUGUCUGAAAAGAUAUGCUCCAGAAUUUGUUCAAUGUUUCUCACUGACUGACAAGUUUUCAGGUACAGCAGGGGAACCGAGAGACAAAGGAAGGGCUCUGUGAUACUCUGCUUCCUUGCCCUGUGACAGCAAGAUCAGGAGGUCAAGAGGCAGACCCGAUUCCCUCACUGGAAAGAUAGCAGCCCUGUCUGUGGUUAAUUAC